GGGUAAGUAGGUUGGUCGUGCCACCGGUACGUACUGGUCUCACUGAUUCCUCCUUCCUGAAGAACCGUAAUGCCAUUAAUUUGGUGUUGCGGGGAAACAGGACUGUUACUUUGAAAAAAUUAGAGUGUUUAGAGCAAGCUAACGCUUGAAUACAUUAGCAUGGAAUAAUGAAAUAGGACGAUCGAUCCUAUUUUGUUGGUUUCUAGGAUUGGCGUA
rnacentral:rRNA from 1 species